UACAGAGGUCCCAAGCGUUGUUCGGAUUCACUGGGCGUAAAGGGUGCGUAGGCGGUCGGGUAAGUCUGAUGUGGAAAUCUCACAGCUUAACUGUGAAACUGCAUUGGAUACUAUCCGGCUCGAGGAAUGGAGGGGAGACUGGAAUACUUGGUGUAGCAGUGAAAUGCGUAGAUAUCAAGUGGAACACCAGUGGCGAAGGCGAGUCUCUGGACAUUUCCUGACGCUGAGGCACGAAAGCCAGGGGAGCAAACGGG
rnacentral:rRNA from 1 species